AGACACUGUUCUGGAUAAGCAGCUGUUGUGUUACUUUGCUUCAGUGAUUUUUAUCAUUUAAACUUAAGAUCUAGGCUGUAUCUGUCAACAGUCUGUGACUUCCCAAAGGCUUUGUGCAGUCCUGCUGCUGCUCAUAGACUUGGAACCAUUUCAGAGCAGGUGAGGUGCAAUUACUGUGGAUGGUUUCUACUCUGGUGUACUAGAGGUGGUUGCUGUUUACAGUUGCAGUUCGAAGGAAAUCUUGCUCCUGCAGAUUUCAGGACUGUCAGGAAGGAUGAGGAGGCAGUCAUUGACAAAAUCAGUUAUAUUCAGAAGGCAACCAUGCCAGAAGGUGUCAACCACACUGGAACGCAGUGGAAGAAAAGGAGCUAAUAAUUAUAAGCACUCUCAUUAUUUAGAAAGUACGCUACUCAAAAUGAAUUCAGCUUUCUGAUGACAAGUGAUUUCUCUCACCCCAAGGAGCAUUUCAAAGCAUCCACACAACCAUCUGCAUGAACCCCAGGAGGUGAAGGUAUGGGACCCUCCUUCCAGCUGUGGUGCAGAAUUUAAAAUUGACUGAGAGGUAACUGCAAGUGUUGGAGUUGAGAGAGCUGUUCAAGGAUUCAGUCAUGGAUGUUUGAUAUCUGUCAAAGAGAGCCGUAUGCUUCAACCAUUGACAGGAAAAGGAGUCACUGGUUUCUUCCAAGCUUAAGCAUCGCUUGAAGUAUUUUUAAGGGAAUUAGGGCAAAUCAAACAGCUCCUUGAAUUUGGUACUACGCUUGGCCAUCAGCAACACUGGAAAGCUCACUAAGGCAGCCUUUUCACAGAUACGCAACUGCAAAAUGGUGGCUGCUAAAACUCAGGCAGCUAACGACUACAUGAAUCUAACAAUCUGGCAAGCAAGAAGGACUGGCUGACAAUCUAUCUGCAAUUUGUGCUUUAAGUGCAGUCUCUAGUUGUAUAUACUAAACCCUGGACUGAUGCCACAGUUGCAGAGCCAGAAGAGAGCAGUUGCUGCAGAUGAAGCUCCAUCCUCAUUCUGGUCAGCCACAAUCUGAAUGCAUGCAGCUCUCCACUUUCUCUCAGUGGAAUUCUUUAGCCUUUUAGAAAAUCCCACUGGUUUAUCUUCAGUCAAGAGUUUGUGCCUCUGGAGUUCCACAUCUCAACCACAAAGAGCAUGUUUAUUUUGUUGCUGUUACAGAAAAAUAAUGAGUCCUGCAUUUUCACCAAUAGUAAGUGAAACUGAUAAUACGAACAUGAGAAAAUACUACAAAUCUGAUUUAUUAAUCUAGACAUGCUUUCGUGUUGUUUGGCGUCUGCUGCAUUUGGCACCAAAGAUGCCUCUAAUCUUUCCUUGAGGGACCAAAUCAAAGGAGAUGAGGUGGAAGUGCAGUAUUGGCUACAUGGGCCUUCCUUCUUGGAGAGGGAAUUGAGUGCUAAGUUGUUUUUAAGCCUAAGAAAAACAAACAAAAUCCUGAGUCAUGAUGCCUUUUAAGUAUCAAUGAAAUUAGUAGAAGGGAGGUUCUACUGUGUUUAUUCAGUUCUGAUAGUGAUGAUGCAUAAGCAUUGGUUUUAUAUUUCUGAGAUGAAGAUGACAGCACUGUCUGAGAUCACAACUCUGCCUGGAGAGAAUAUGAGACGAAAACCUGUGGUUUCACUGCUGUCCUUACUUCUAGAUGACCUGUAGUGAAGUGCAAGAAUGCAAAUGGAUCUGAACCGUAACGAGAGGCUGGUGUUAAAGAAUAAAUGCCUGAGCACUAGCAAGGACACACUGGGAAGUUCAACGGCAAGUAUCACAGCAGGGUGAGGGCUCCGCUGGACUGCAGUGCAAGACCACUUGAUGGCUGUGAAGAUGAUUAAAUGCUGCAGAGAUGGAGCAGCUGAUGUGUGAGGAGAGGCUGCUUAGCCUGGAAGGGGCUCUGAGGGUCCUUACUGGUGUGCCCUUACCCGGUGGAGGAAGAUGGAAUCAGACUCUUCCCCAUGGUACCCAGUGAGCAAGAGAUACAAACUGAAAUACAGAGACGUCCGUUAAGCAUAAGAAAAACGUGUGCUAACGGCCGUCCAUCC
rnacentral:lncRNA from 1 species